AGAGUUUGAUCCUGGCUCAGGACGAACGCUGGCGGCGUGCUUAACACAUGCAAGUCAAGGGGGGGUAGCAAUACUCAACCGGCGAACGGGUGCGUAACACGUGAGCGACCUACCUUAAGGCGGGGGAUAGCCGGCCCAACGGCCGGGUAAUACCGCAUACGCUCUCCUUUGGGCAUCUGGGGGAGAGGAAACUUUCGAGGCCUUUAGAGGGGCUCGCGGCCUAUCAGCUAGUUGGCGGGGUAAUGGCCCACCAAGGCAGUGACGGGUAGCUGGUCUGAGAGGAUGGCCAGCCACAUUGGGACUGAGAGACGGCCCAGACUCCUACGGGAGGCAGCAGUGGGGAAUCUUGCGCAAUGGCCUAACGGCUGACGCAGCGACGCCGCGUGGGGGAGGAAGGGCUUCGGCUCGUAAACCCCUGUUGCCCGGGGCGAACAGCUUCUUUCGAGGAGCCUGACGGUACCGGGUGAGGAAGCACCGGCUAACUCCGUGCCAGCAGCCGCGGUAAUAC
rnacentral:rRNA from 1 species